rnacentral:rRNA from 1 species
GACAGAGGAUGCGAGCGUUAUCCGGAGUCAUUGGGCGUAAAGGGUACGUAGGCGGCUAGUCAAGUCUGAGGUUAAAGACCACAGCUUAACUGUGGGAAGGCCUUGGAAACUGACUGGCUAGAGUGGGGCAGGGGUUGCGUGAAUUCCCGGUGUAGCGGUGAAAUGCGUAGAUAUCGGGAAGAACACCUGAGGCGAAAGCGCGCAACUGGGCCUUAACUGACGCUGAGGUACGAAAGCUAGGGGAGCGAAUGGG